rnacentral:rRNA from 1 species
UACGUAGGGGGCAAGCGUGUCCGGAUUUAUUGGGCGUAAAGAGCGUGUAGGCGGCCAUACAGGUCCGUUGUGAAAACUGGAGGCUUAACCUCCAGACGUCGAUGGAAACCGUAUGGCUAGAGUCCGGAAGAGGAGAGUGGAAUUCCUGGUGGUAGCGGUGAAAUGCGCAGAUAUCAGGAAGAACACCCGUGGCGAAGGCGGCUCUCUGGGACGGUACUGACGCUGAGACGCGAAAGCGUGGGGAGCGAACAGG